rnacentral:rRNA from 1 species
GACGAACGCUGGCGGCGUGCUUAACACAUGCAAGUCGAACGGAAAGGCCCUGCUUUUGUGGGGUGCUCGAGUGGCGAACGGGUGAGUAACACGUGAGUAACCUGCCCUUGACUUUGGGAUAACUUCAGGAAACUGGGGCUAAUACCGGAUAGGAGCCCCUGCUGCAUGGUGGGGGUUGGAAAGUUUCGGCGGUUGGGGAUGGACUCGCGGCUUAUCAGCUUGUUGGUGGGGUAGUGGCUUACCAAGGCUUUGACGGGUAGCCGGCCUGAGAGGGUGACCGGCCACAUUGGGACUGAGAUACGGCCCAGACUCCUACGGGAGGCAGCAGUGGGGAAUAUUGCACAAUGGGCGGAAGCCUGAUGCAGCAACGUCGCGUGCGGGAUGACGGCCUUCGGGUUGUAAACCGCUUUCGCCUGUGACGAAGCGUGAGUGACGGUAAUGGGUAAAGAAGCACCGGCUAACUACGUG